CCCUUAGACGUUCUGGGCCGCACGCGCGCUACACUGACGAAGGCAACGAGCUUUCCUUUACCGAAAGGUACGGGUAAUCUUUUGAAACUUCGUCGUGCUGGGGAUAGAUCCUUGCAAUUUUUGAUCUUAAACGAGGAAUGCCUAGUAAGCGCAAGUCAUCAACUUGCGUUGAUUACAUCCCUGCCCUUUGUACACACCGCCCGUCGCUACUACCGAUUGAAUGGUUUAGUGAGGCCUUCGGAUCCGCGACUCGUUUGUGGAGAAGUUGGACAAACUCAGUCAUUUAGAGGAAGUAAAAGUCGUAACA
rnacentral:rRNA from 1 species